GGAAGGGUAAGGUUGGAGUUGUCCAGCAGGGGGCAGUCUAGUUGGGGAAGGGUAAGGUUGGAGUGGUCCAGCAGGGGCAGUCUAGUUGGGGAAGGGUAAGGUUGGAGUGGUCCAGUAGGGGCGCUGUAGUUGGGGAAGGGUAAGGUUGGAGUGGUCCAAAUUUGGCGGAGGGGGAGGUGUGGCUUGGGACUGAGUGAGAGAACUCAAAAAAUGGCGGCCGUGAUGAUAUAACUCUGUGUGGCCUGUCUAACACACGAGAGCGGAUGAGAGACUAG
ensembl:lncRNA